CAAAAGCCCAGAGACCUAACAGGUAUCUGAAAUUCCACUUCUUCAUUUUAUUUAGCCAAUUUUCUCAUGCCAUGGAGAGGUCAACAGUCAGGUACCUUCUGUGUUGGACACUGUCAAGCCUUGUUUGCUGUGAUUAGAAGGUCCCAGGAGAAAGCUGGUGAGUUUUUGGCAGUUUGUGGCAAACGAGAGAGCUACAGCUGCAGAGCAGUUGUUGUCAUAACACCUAUUCAUCAUUAUCCCUCUCAUCAUGAAUCACCUCCUGAUAACCAACCUCUCUUUGUUUACAUCCAACAUAUCUAGAAAGCCCGUGUUUGCUUCCAGGGCUCACAUCUCUACCUGGGAAAAGCCUGGCUGAUUUCAUGCCAGUAUUCCUUUCCCAAAACCAGAAAAUUCUCGAUGUCUCCCUGCUGAGAGAACGGGGACAGCUUUUCAAAUGUUUUGUUCGCUUCCACUUAAAAUUCAACCAGAGUAUCUAAAUUAGGAAUGCUGCUACAUUCCAGCUUAGAAAGCAGCAGUGCUCUGUUAUAAAGAGGGGCUCCGUCUCCUUCUGCUUAUUCAGAAGCAUGUUUUUUGGGUUUGAGCGGUCCACUCAUUUAGGUGGAAGGCUUGGUCAGGGGCCUGUGUUGUGCCCUUCCUCCAGCAUCCGGUACAGUGUGGAGCACCAUGUCAGCGACACACUAAUACACAAGAAUAAUCAGCUCAUCAAAUCAGCUUCAUUAGUUGGAGCUGGAGAGCACAGCUCUGCUGCCCAGCCCCGCAGACACGCAGCCUGCCUCCCUGCUCCAUCUGCCACAGCCGAGCAUGAGGGGUCUGCCCAUUCGGCUGCUUGCACAGAAGUGAGAAAGCCUAGGACACCGGGGUAUCAGUGUGUGCAUGUUCUGCCUGACACAAGUCACCAGGGAAUGGCUGCUCCUCCCCUGUCUCUCACAGCAAGGUGAUGAAAAGCUACCCGGUAGCACAGAAUGGAGAAAGCAACUGGAAGAUCUGGCCACACAGGAAAGGGAGUGAGUAACAGCAAGAAAAGCAUUUGGGUGGACAAAGCAGGGGACAAAGUGAAAUGGAAGGUAAAUCAGAUGAGGCAGCCAGACAGGAGUGAGAGUGAUGGGGUGGGGUGAAGGGCUAGGCCAGCAGGAAAGGCAGUCUGGG
rnacentral:lncRNA from 1 species